AGAGUUUGAUCAUGGCUCAGGAUGAACGCUGGCGGCGUGCCUAAUACAUGCAAGUCGAGCGGUAAGGCCACUUCGGUGGUACACGAGCGGCGGACGGCUGAGUAACACGUUGGGAUCUACCCCAAACUGAGGGAUAAGCACCAGAAAUGGUGUCUAAUACCGCAUGUGCUCUUCGGAGUAAAGCUACGGCGGUUUGGGAA
rnacentral:rRNA from 1 species